rnacentral:rRNA from 1 species
UACGGAGGGUGCAAGCGUUAUCCGGAAUCAUUGGGUUUAAAGGGUCCGCAGGCGGUCUUAUAAGUCAGUGGUGAAAGCCUACAGCUCAACUGUAGAACUGCCAUUGAUACUGUAAGACUUGAAUUCGAUCGAAGUGGGCGGAAUAUGACAUGUAGCGGUGAAAUGCUUAGAUAUGUCAUAGAACACCGAUAGCGAAGGCAGCUCACUAGGUCUGGAUUGACGCUCAGGGACGAAAGCGUGGGGGAGCAAACAGG